rnacentral:snoRNA from 1 species
AUUUUAUGAUAUGGGCACUUCUGUAAUAAUUCUUUGUACCUUUCCCAUGCCUCAUACAAUGGCUCAUCAUCCAUAUGUUGAAAAUCAGUGAUCUCGUUCCUCAACUU